AGAGUUUGAUUCUGGCUCAGAUUGAACGCUGGCGGCGUGCUUAACACAUGCAAGUCGAACGCGAAAGAGACUUCGGUCUCGAGUAGAGUGGCGCACGGGUGAGUAACGCGUGGAUAAUCUGCCCUCAUGACCGGGAUAACAGUUGGAAACGGCUGCUAAUACCGGAUACGCUCUGAAUGAACUUUUAGGGGAAAGACGGCCUCUGCUUGCAAGCUGUCGUAUGAGGAUGAGUCCGCGUCCCAUUAGCUUGUUGGCGGGGUAACGGCCCACCAAGGCAACGAUGGGUAGCCGAUCUGAGAGGAUGAUCGGCCACACUGGAACUGAAACACGGUCCAGACUCCUACGGGAGGCAGCAGUGGGGAAUAUUGCGCAAUGGGCGAAAGCCUGACGCAGCGACGCCGCGUGAGGGAUGAAGGUUUUCGGAUCGUAAACCUCUGUCAGAAGGGAAGAAAGUGCGUGGUGCUAAUCAGCCGCGCAUUGACGGUACCUUCAAAGGAAGCACCGGCUAACUCCGUGCCAGCAGCCGCGGUAAUACGGAGGGUGCAAGCGUUAAUCGGAAUCACUGGGCGUAAAGCGCACGUAGGCGGCUUGGUAAGUCAGGGGUGAAAUCCCACAGCCCAACUGUGGAACUGCCUUUGAUACUGCCAGGCUUGAGUACCGGAGAGGGUGGCGGAAUUCCAGGUGUAGGAGUGAAAUCCGUAGAUAUCUGGAGGAACACCGGUGGCGAAGGCGGCCACCUGGACGGUAACUGACGCUGAGGUGCGAAAGCGUGGGUAGCAAACAGGAUUAGAUACCCUGGUAGUCAGUUACCAGAUCGGAAGAGCACACGUCUGAACUCCAGUCA
rnacentral:rRNA from 1 species